CCUANGGGGGGCUGCAGUGAGGAAUAUUGGGCAAUGGGCGCAAGCCUGACCCAGCCAUGCCGCGUGAAGGAUGAAUGCCCUAUGGGUUGUAAACUUCUUUUGUACGGGACGAAUCUUCCGGACGUGUCCGGGACUGACAGUACCGUGCGAAUAAGCAUCGGCUAACUCCGUGCCAGCAGCCGCGGUAAUACGGAGGAUGCAAGCGUUAUCCGGAUUCAUUGGGUUUAAAGGGUGCGUAGGCGGGACAAUAAGUCAGUGGUGAAAGCCUGCGGCUUAACCGUAGAAUUGCCAUUGAUACUGCUGUUCUUGAGUACAGUUGAGGUGGGCGGAAUGUGUAAUGUAGCGGUGAAAUGCUUAGAUAUUACACAGAACACCGAUUGCGAAGGCAGCUCACUAAGCUGUUACUGACGCUGAGGCACGAAAGCGUGGGGAGCAAACAGGAUUAGAUACCCCUNUANUC
rnacentral:rRNA from 1 species